UACGUAGGGGGCUAGCGUUGUCCGGAUUCAUUGGGCGUAAAGCGCGUGUAGGCGGCCAGGUAGGUCCGAUGUGAAAACUGGAGGCUCAACCUCCAGCUGUCAUUGGAAACCAUCUGGCUAGAGUCCGGAAGAGGAGAGUGAAUUCCUGGUGUAGCGGUGAAAUGCGCAGAUAUCAGGAAGAACACCGAUGGCGAAGGCAGGCUCUGGCGG
rnacentral:rRNA from 1 species